AUCUCCUCCUCUCCACAGUCAGACCUGGGAAAAUAAAAUAGAGGUCAUAUUUGUGUUUCAUUAAGAUUAGGAAAACUCUGUCCCAAUCAUUUUAAUACAACGGAAUUUUGUCAAUAUACAAUUAUUUUUCUUAUUCGAUUACGGUGAACUACGUCGUGAAUCUGUUACACACAAACACAUUGCCUCGGUACAUGCACAGACACUGAUUUCUUAUAGGAAAACUUUUUUUUAAACCAUGAUCCUGUUUGUUUACUUUAUUUUAAAAGAUGUUCUUAGACUUAAUAUAGCUUAUGUAUCAUAGUAGAGCUCAAUUCUCUGUGAUUAGUUCACCUCUGUGCUGUUAUGUGUUUUAAGAAGGUAAAACAUUUUCAACCAAAGUGCUUGAGCAACAAUAGAGAGACAUUCGACAACUAUUUGGGUUCCAAGGCAAAUAUUACUGAAAGAUGUUUUGUAUUUUACUGCAGCAGAGCUUCUGUGCAGUGUAGCUACCUACCUGUCUCCAUAUUAUUGCUCACGUAAGAAUUUGUAGUUAGUGUUUUAUGACCUUACAGUGAUUUUGUUUUGCAAAUUAUGCUUCAUUUGGAUAGCCCUUGCUGUCCUCAAAGUUUAAAGAAAGUAACUCAGCAUCCAUCUGGCUAAACAUAUUGUUGAUAGCACUGAACAGCUGACUGUGGCUGGGAGCUGCUCUGUCAGUACAAUGAGUCUAAUGUUUGGACAUUUUAGUGUGGCUUUCAGGUGUUUCAGUUCUGCUUCAUUUAAGCUUUAUUUAAAUUGUGGGUUACUUUUUUUGUGCUGAGAUCAUGUAGACGUCCAGCUGGAUGGAGUGGGUGGAAGUUUCUGAAUAUGAGUUUCAGCGGAGGGUGGCCUACAUUGAAUGGCAUAGAGCUGGUGAUUAGGAUGAUGAGGAAAACUAGCUAGAAGAUAAUGACAGCUGUAGUGUAGCAUUAGUGUAAUGAGUUUGAUUCAAGUAUAUAAAUCAUUGAAGAGCCUCUUAGUAGUUUAACAGUAUAUGUUUUAUAUCGCUAGUUGCUUAUUCAUUUGAUGUGAGAUGUCUUCAUUUUAUCAUUUAAAACACACACCUCUUUUCUUUUCAUUCAUUAUUUUGUCACAAGCUACAAAACAAACCUUGUUCUGCUCAGAGAUGUAUUCAUGUCAAACAAUGUUCCUUAUCAUUUUGUUUUCAUUUGUCUUUAUUUCUUUUUGGUUGUUUUAUCCUUCUGUCAUUCAUUGCUCUCUUGUUCUCAAUAAAAUGUUCACCUCACAACUUCUA